CGCAAUGGGCGAAAGUCUGACGGAGCGACGCCGCGUGAUUGAUGAAGUCCCUCUGGGACGUAAAGAUCUUUUAUGAGCUACUAAGUUUAUUGAAGAGCUCAUGAAUAAGGGGUUGCUAAACUCGUGCCAGCAGCAGCGGUAAUACGAGUGCCCCAAGCGUUAUCCGGAAUUACUGGGCGUAAAGGGUGUGUAGGUGGUUGUGUUAGUCUUUUGUUAAAUUCUUCGGCUUAACCGGGGACAUGCAAAGGAAACGGCACUGACUAGAAGAUACGAGGGGUCUGUGGAACUCAUGGAGUAGGGGUGAAAUCCGUUGAUAUCAUGGGGAACACCAAAAGCGAAGGCAGCAGACUGGCGUAUUCUUGACACUGAAACACGAAAGCGU
rnacentral:rRNA from 1 species